rnacentral:rRNA from 1 species
GACGAACGCUGGCGGCGUGCUUAACACAUGCAAGUCGAGCGGAUCAGCGAACGGGUGAGUAACGCGUGAGUAACUGCCCCCCUCUCUGGGAUAACAGUUGGAAACGGCUGCUAGUCCCGGAUAGUGGGGGAUGCCUCGCGUCCUAGCCGAUUGUUGGUGGGGUGGUGGCCUACCAAGGCGACGCCGGGUAGCCGUCCUGAGAUGGCGCCCGGCCCCAUUGGGUCGAGAUACGGCCCAAACUCCUACGGGAGGUAGCAGUGGGGAUUAUUGCACAAUGGGGGCAGCCAUGAUGCAGUAUCGCCGCGUGGGGGAUGACGGCCGUCGGGUUGUAAACCGCUUUCAGCCAUGACGCGGUAGUGCAGAAGAAGCACCGGCUAACUACGUGCCAGCAGCCGCGGUAAUUC